AAAAAGUACUUUGAAAGAGAGAGUUCCAAAAGGGCGUGAAACCGCUUAGAAUAAAACGGACGGAGCCGUCAGGAGCUUUCGAGACUCAGUCGUCUAAUAAGCGAAAGUAUGGCGUUCGUAGAGCAUAAAAAGUCUACGUCGUCGUAUUAGUACGCUGAUAGUCGGCGCAUUUCUCGAGAGUAAGCAUCGCAACCGAUACGAAAGGCUAGCGAGGUGAUCGAAUUGAGGUCUAGUAUCUUCGGACGCUAGUUACCAGUUCGAUCGCGCUUAAGUCGCUAGAUCGCAGUAUGUAUCGAGCGCUUAAUAAAAAAAUACGUCGACCGUAAGGUUCGUCGAACGAUGGAUAGUCGGUUAGUUCGAUCGGUUACCUGCUCGCAGGUACUGGUCAACGUUCGAUCGGCUUAGAAGUCGUCGACGACUCGGCGUAUAGGCGUUAGCGGUGUCAGCGUCGGUCACCCGUCCGACCCGUCUUGAAACACGGACCAAGGAGUCUAACAUAUGCGCGAGCCAAUGGGCGGAAAACCCAAAGGCGCAAUAAAAGUAAAGACCGUUCUACGAAUGGUUAAGGUACGAUCCUAGAUUUUUUCUAAGAUUUAGGCGCAGUACCGUCUCAUCCCUAAGGCACGUCCUAAGGGUGAAGACAGAGUGCAUACGUUGGGACCCGAAAGAUGGUGAACUAUGCCUGAGCAGAGCGAAGCCAGAGGAAACUCUGGUGGAGGUUCGUAGCGGUUCUGACGUGCAAAUCGAUCGUCAGACUUGGGUAU
rnacentral:rRNA from 1 species